AGAGGUCCCACCUGCCCGGUGACACCAAUUUAACGGCCGCGGUAUCCUGACCGUGCGAAGGUAGCGUAAUCAUUUGUCUUUUAAAUGGGGACUUGUAUGAAUGGUAUAACGAGGGCUUAACUGUCUCCUCCCUCUUGUCAAUGAAAUUGAUCUCCCCGUGCAGAAGCGGGGAUACUCUCAUAAGACGAGAAGACCCUAUGGAGCUUUAGAUACUAAGGUAGACCAUAUUCCAUAACCCCUUGUUAAAGGAGUAAAUCUAUGCUAAUCCUACCCCUAUAUCUUCGGUUGGGGCGACAAUGGGGAAAUAAAAAUCCCCCAUGCGGAACGGGAAAAUUUUAUCUAAGAAAUUAUUCUUACCAUAAAGCUACUUCCCCAAAUUAAGAGUGACAACUCUAAAUUACAGUAUUUCUGACCAUAAAUGAUCCGGCAUUUGCCGAUUAACGGACCAAGUUACCCUAGGGAUAACAGCGCAAUCCCCUUUUAGAGCCCACAUCAACAAGGGGGUUUACGACCUCGAUGUUGGAUCAGGACAUCCUAUUGGUGCAGCCGCUAUUAAGGGUUCGUUUGUUCAACGAUUAAAGUCCUACGUGAUC
rnacentral:rRNA from 1 species